GGCUUCUCAUUGGCCAAAAGGCGCCAGCUUCCGGGGGGUCAUUGGCCGCCGCCGCCGCCCAUACAGAGAAAGCCUGCCCCCCGCCAAAUUUGGUUUUUAUUGGCCAGGAACGUGCGUCAUACCAGAUUUUUAUUGGCUAACUUGGCAGCCCGUCGAGCUAAGUCCGGCCUCUAGGACUGCCAGUCUGGAGAAUCCAGCUCUAGAACCUCCGACUGUCCGGACGGUAGGCCCGUCUCUGCCGUUUAUUGGUCACUCUGGUGCCAGUUAGACCAGGAGCGGGGCGGGUCUACGGGAGCUAUUCCGACGGUCCCCAGAGUUGGUACCCAAAUCGCUGCGAUGCUGGGACUGGAGGCUCAGAGCUCCGUACCAGGCGCUCCCUUCCAAACCAAGCCGGGGGUGCUAAGCGAGGGACGGAGGAACCUUAAAACUGGAAGGCAUUGAGCCACCCCCACCCCCAAGUAUUGCCACAGAGGCCCAACGAUCCCCUUUACACACCUGAGCAAACUCCCAAAGUAAUACUUCCGAAACAUGGCCUCUUCCCCUCGGCACUCUCCGGCUCAAGAAACCCCCGUGGCUCCCUAUCAUCUAGAACAGAUUAAAUUAGAUUUCCUAGUCUGACGCUCCAAA